GAUGAACGCUGGCGGCGUGCCUAAUACAUGUAAGUCGAGCCAACAGACGAGGAGUUUGCUCCUCUGACGUUAGCGGCGGACGGGUGAGUAACAUGUGGAUAAUCUACCUAUAAGACUGGGAUAACUUCGGGAAACCGGAGCUUAUACCGGAUAAUAUCUUGAACCGCAUGGUUCAAUAGUGAAAGACGGUUUUGCUGUCACUUAUAGAUGGAUCCGCGCAGCAUUAGCUAGAUGGUAAGGUAACGGCUUACCAAGGCAACGAUGCGUAGCCGACCUGAGAGGGUGAUCGGGCACACUGGAGCUGAGACUCGAUCCAGACACCUACGGUAGGCAGCGGUAGGGAAUCUUCCGCGAUGGGGGAAUGCCUGACGGAGCAACGCGGCGUAAGUGAUGAUGGUCUGCGGAUCGUAAAACGCUGUUAUUAGUGAAAAACAAAUGUGUAGGUGACUAUGCACAUCUUGACGGUACCUAAUCAGAAAGCCACGGCUAACUACGUG
rnacentral:rRNA from 1 species